rnacentral:rRNA from 1 species
GAUGAACGCUGGCGGCGUGCCUAAUACAUGCAAGUCGAGCGAACAGACGAGGAGCUUGCUCCUCUGACGUUAGCGGCGGACGGGUGAGUAACACGUGGAUAACCUACCUAUAAGACUGGGAUAACUUCGGGAAACCGGAGCUAAUACCGGAUAACAUGUUGAACCGCAUGGUUCAACAGUGAAAGACGGUCUUUCUGUCACUUAUAGAUGGAUCCGCGCCGCAUUAGCUAGUUGGUAAGGUAACGGCUUACCAAGGCAACGAUGCGUAGCCGACCUGAGAGGGUGAUAGGCCACACUGGAACUGAGACACGGUCCAGACUCCUACGGGAGGCAGCAGUAGGGAAUCUUCCGCAAUGGGCGAAAGCCUGACGGAGCAACGCCGCGUGAGUGAAGAAGGUCUUCGGAUCGUAAAACUCUGUUAUUAGGGAAGAACAAAUGUGUAAGUAACUAUGCACGUCUUGACGGUACCUAAUCAGAAAGCCACGGCUAACUACGUG